rnacentral:rRNA from 1 species
UCAACGGAUAAAAGGUACUCCGGGGAUAACAGGCUGAUACCGCCCAAGAGUUCAUAUCGACGGCGGUGUUUGGCACCUCGAUGUCGGCUCAUCACAUCCUGGGGCUGAAGUAGGUCCCAAGGGUAUGGCUGUUCGCCAUUUAAAGUGGUACGCGAGCUGGGUUUAGAACGUCGUGAGACAGUUCGGUCCCUAUCUGCCGUGGGCGCUGGAGAACUGAGGGGGGCUGCUCCUAGUACGAGAGGACCGGAGUGGACGCAUCACUGGUGUUCGGGUUGUCAUGCCAAUGGCACUGCCCGGUAGCUAAAUGCGGAAGAGAUAAGUGCUGAAAGCAUCUAAGCACGAAACUUGCCCCGAGAUGAGUUC